rnacentral:rRNA from 1 species
UAUGAAGGGGGCUAGCGUUGCUCGGAAUUACUGGGCGUAAAGGGUGCGUAGGCGGGUCUUUAAGUCAGAGGUGAAAUCCUGGAGCUCAACUCCAGAACUGCCUUUGAUACUGAGGAUCUUGAGUUCGGGAGAGGUGAGUGGAACUGCGAGUGUAGAGGUGAAAUUCGUAGAUAUUCGGAAGAACACCAGUGGCGAAGGCGACUUACUGGACACAUAUUGACGCUGAGGUGCGAAAGCGUGGGGAGCAAACAGG